GCCGGGGUAGCCAAGUGGACUACGGCGCGGGCCUUGAGAGCCCGUGACUCUUCGGGGUCGCGCGGGUUCAAAUCCCGUCCCCGGCGCCA
rnacentral:tRNA from 1 species